GACGGAGGGCGCAAGCGUUGUUCGGAAUUACUGGGCGUAAAGGGCGCGUAGGCGGUUUGCUAAGUUGGGUGUGAAAACUCUGGGCUCAGCCCAGAGCCUGCAUCCAAAACUGGCGAGCUCGAGUUCUGGAGGGGAUAGCGGAAUUCCUGGUGUAGCGGUGAAAUGCGUAGAUAUCAGGAGGAACACCGGUGGCGAAGGCGACUAUCUGGACAGAAACUGACGCUGAGGCGCGAAAGCUAGGGGAGCAAACAGG
rnacentral:misc_RNA from 1 species